GAUCGCUGCCAAAAACUUAAAAUUUAGUAUAAAAUUUAACAUUUUACCAAAAAAAGUUAUUGAAAACUAUUGAAGUGCAAUAAAACAAAACAAAAUUCUUGAUUGGCCAAAACUUUCACAAUAACCAAAAGAUAAUAAUUUUGUCUUAAAAAAACAACAUUUAUUUUCAAGAGUUAUUUUCACUCUAGGGCAGUUUACGUGUUUCUAUGUCAUAAAAAUGCACUUCUUGCUACUGGGGCAGUUUUCAUUUGAAAAGACCCAACUUGCUCUCAAAAAAUCAUAACCGGUCCGUUCCUUUUCUUUUUUCUUAGUUUGAUUGUUCAAAUUUCAAAAUUUAAAAUCUAGGUGGUGGGCCCACAGACGGAUAUUAUAGACAGAUCUGUAAGGAUAAUUAUUCACUUUUAACUUCGCUUUUACCGAGACCAGAGAGGGAGAAACCGAAGCGGCGAUAGCGAGCCAAAAAAACGACGGCGAGUUUCGGCGACGAUAAACAAGAUGUCUCGACGGCGGAGUCUGCGUGGUAAAGAGAUUGCCGUUGACGAGGUAGAGGUUGUACCGGCCAGUCUACCGGAGAGGUUAUUUGCAACAGAUCGUUUCCCCUACGAGAAAAUCAACAUGUACUCUACUAUAGAUUUUCUGCUGUGCGUUAGAGACGCACUAAACGGCACCGAGGAGAUGGUGAUGCUCCUAAGAUCUUGCUUUGGAACCCUAUUUAGGUUUCCUGUCCGUAGGGUGCUAAUGGGCAAAGUGAUACACGAGAUGCUGACAAGGCAGGUGCUAACGAAGAAGGGAGGAUUUAUUUUGUUGCGUAGUGCCUUUGUACUUGUGAUGAUUGCGUAGGGAGGGUUUAUUUUGUUGUGACAUUGCAGAAAGGGUUGGAGGUUGUUUUUGGUUAGGGCCCUUGUUGUGUUGGAUGUUUCAUUUACUAUCGGUUCUCUGUGUUGCAAAACAUGUUAUGUCAGCAAGUUUUUUGUAUUAUCACCUAUGGUUGGACGUUUAGGAAACCAAAUCUUAUUUAUGUAGUUAUUGUUGCAUU